UUAUUCUUCCUAGUCUUAACUAGAUUUUUUUUGGGUGCAAAAUAGGUCCUGCCAUGAUAAAUCAGUGAAAGGUAAUAUUGAUGCUGCUAUUCAAGCUCAAGAUCAACCGGAUGUUUGGACGGUGCACGAAAUGUGGAGUAGGCAAGUGACAUUUUUCGACAUAAUGAAAAAAUUGUCACCUGAUGCUAUAAAGGUCUGCAUAUCCCUCAUCCUUUUAUUCUUGCGGAGAAUGAUUUCGAUUUAUCCAAUUUAUUUCAGGUACACGAUUUCUCCACUGCAAUUUAAUUUCAGAAGACUAGGGUUACUUGGUUGAGUCUGCCCCAAGAAUUUAAGACAGGUUCUAUCCUUAAUCAACAUCUGAUAGUGGCUCCAACAAUAAUUGAAAGAAUUAUAUCCAUUUAUGGAAAACAUGACUGUACAGGUUACAUUUCUAUUCAAAUUUACAUUCUAUCAAGAGAAAGAAUACUACUAUUUACAUCAAACUCCUAUGGAACAUAAGAUCAUUUUGUUCGAUUGCCAGUAUUUGUUAAUAUAAUUUUUUUUCUAUA